rnacentral:rRNA from 1 species
UGGCGCACGGGUGAGUAACACGUAGGUAACCUGCCCCAGAGAUUGGGAUAACGGAUCGAAAGGUCCGCUAAUACCAGAUACGCCUGUGAGGACCUCGCGGUCCUCGCGGGGAAAUGAUGGCCUCUGCCUGCAAGCCAUCGCUCCGGGAGGGGCCUUCGUCCUAUUAGCUAGUUGGCGGGGUAACGGCCCACCAAGGCGAUGAUGGGUAGCCGGCUUGAGAGAGCGGUCGGCCACACUGGAACUGAGACACGGUCCAGACUCCUACGGGAGGCAGCAGUAGGGAAUUUUCCGCAAUGGGCGAAAGCCUGACGGAGCGACGCCGCGUGAGCGAUGAAGGCCUUCGGGUUGUAAAGCUCUGUCUAGGGAGAAGAAAGGCACGUGCACGAAUAGGGCACGUGCCUGACGGUACCUCUGGAGGAAGCCCCGGCUAAUUACGUGCCAGCAGCCGCGGUAAUACGUAAGGGGCGAGCGUUGUCCGGAAUCACUGGGCGUAAAGGACGCGUAGGCGGCUGAGUAAGUCAGGGGUGAAAGCUGUGAGCUCAACUCACAAAUUGCUUCUGAAACUACUCGGCUUGAGUUCUGCAGGGGAAAGUGGAAUUCACGGUGUAGCGGUGAAAUGCGUAGAUAUCGUGGAGAACACCCGUGGCGAAGGCGGCUUUCUGGGCAGACACUGACGCUGAGGCGUGAAAGCUAGGGGAGCGAACAGGAUUAGAUACUCCUGGUAGUCCUAGCUGUAAACGGUGAGUACUAGUGUCGGGGAGUGUAUCCUCGGUGCCGCCGCUACGCAUUAAGUACUCCGCCUGGGGACUACGCCGCAAGGUUAAACUCAAGGAAUUGACGGGGCUCGCACAGCGGUGGAGUAUGUGGUUCAUUCG